rnacentral:tRNA from 1 species
GUCCAGGGUAGCCUAGUGGACAUGGCAUCUGCCCGGUAAGCGGAAGGUUGUGGGUUCGAUUCCCGCCCUGGACA